AUUGAACGCUGGCGGCAGGCCUAACACAUGCAAGUCGAGCGAGCGGCGGACGGGUGAGUAAUGUCUGGGAAACUGCCUGAUGGAGGGGGAUAACUACUGGACACGGUAGCUAAUACCGCAUACCAUCAGAUCUGCCCAGAUGGGAUUAGCUAGUAGGUGGGGUAACGGCUCACCUAGGCGACGAUCCCUUGCUGGUCUGAGUGGAUGACCAGCCAAACUGUAACUGAGACACGGUCCUGACUCCGACGGGAGUAAGCCGUGGGGGAUAGUGCGCAAUGGGCGCUAGCCUGAUGCAGCCAUGCCGCGUGUGUGAAGAGGGCCUUCGGGUUGUAAAGCACUUUCAGCGGGGAGGUGUUACCCGCAGAAGAAGCACCGGCGAACUCAGUGCCAGCAGCCGCGGUAAUUC
rnacentral:rRNA from 1 species